rnacentral:rRNA from 1 species
CCUACGGGAGGCAGCAGUGGGGAAUAUUGGACAAUGGGGGAAACCCUGAUCCAGCGACGCCGCGUGAGUGAAGAAGUAUUUCGGUACGUAAAGCUCUAUCAGCAGGAAAGAAAAUGACGGUACCUGACUAAGAAGCCCCGGCUAACUACGUGCCAGCAGCCGCGGUAAUACGUAGGGGGCAAGCGUUAUCCGGAUUUACCGGGUGGAAAGGGAGCGUAGACGGCAGCGCAAGUCUGGAGUGAAAUGCCGGGGCCCAACCCCGGAACUGCUCGGGAAACUGUGAAGCUGGAGUGCAGGAGAGGUAAGCGGAAUUCCUGGUGUAGCGGUGAAAUGCGUAGAUAUCAGGAGGAACACCGGCGGCGAAGGCGGCUUACUGGACUGUAACUGACGUUGAGGCUCGAAGGCGUGGGGAGCAAACAGGAUUAGAUACCCUUGUAGUC